GGUGGGAAGAUGUGCUUUAUGUAGCUCUGUGCAAAGCAGAGAAAUGUUACAGUUAUUUCAAGCAAGAAUAAAUCCUGGGUGACAUCUUUUAUUGUCAAUAUCCACACGAAGAAAGAAGGAUUAUUGUGCUAUGACAACCCAGCUACCCUGAAUUGCUUGAGGGAUCGAAGUGAGUGCUGAAAAUUUCCCCAAGCAGUGGUGGUGGCUGAUAACCCAGCUACAAACAUCUCAAAACCUCAUGGUGAGGCAUCAGGUGUGGUGGCACACCAAAUACACCAGUGUUUCCCAGAUGUUCCCCAGCUACAAAUGCUUGGCAUUGUAGUUCAGCAACAUCUGGAGGACCCCAGGUUGGGAAAACUCUGGUCUAAGGGAUAUCAACUGGAGGCACCAUGCCACUUCUAGUUCUUUCCCUCCAGAAUGUGUAUGGCAUCAGCACAGAAGGUGUUUGACCAACUCACUAUAUCUCACCUUUGUUGAAUCCAAUUGGAUAAUCACAUUGAUGACUGAACUCACCUGUUAUAGACAUUCAAAGGCAGAAGACUCAUCAGAUGUGCUUGUUGCAAAGUGGUUUGUAUUUGUUAACUACUGGAAUAAUAAAUACCAGAACAAUAUUUAUCCAUAUUCUUUUUCUAUCUGCUGUAUAAAGUGAUUGUGUAUAUUUUGAUCCUGGAUAUUUUGGAUAUUUAUAAUUUGAAAAAUAAAUUGUAAUUGCUUUAUCACCAAA